rnacentral:rRNA from 1 species
AACGAACGCUGGCGGCAGGCCUAACACAUGCAAGUCGAGCGGACCCUUCGGGGUUAGCGGCGGACGGGUGAGUAACGCGUGGGAAUAUGCCCUUCUCUACGGAAUAGUCCUGGGAAACUGGGGGUAAUACCGUAUACGCCCUUUGGGGGAAAGAUUUAUCGGGGAAGGAUUAGCCCGCGUUGGAUUAGGUAGUUGGUGGGGUAAUGGCCUACCAAGCCGACGAUCCAUAGCUGGUUUGAGAGGAUGAUCAGCCACACUGGGACUGAGACACGGCCCAGACCCCUACGGGAGGCAGCAGGGGGGAAUCUUAGACAAUGGGGGCAACCCUGAUCUAGCCAUGCCGGGGGAGUGAUGAAGGCCUUAGGGUUGUAAAGCUCUUUCAGCGGGGAAGAUAAUGACGGUACCAGAAGAAGAAGCCCCGGCUAACUCCGU